ACCUUCCAGUACUUCUGGGUUAGAAGUGGGGAAUUUUCCAGCCAAAGUAACUUCAAUGCCGUAUUUCACUGCGUUCGAAUGAGCUCCGUUGACGAUGCCGAUGAUCAAUUCGCAUAUCAAACAGCUGUAAACAUUGGUGGCCACGUGUUUAAAGGAAUUUUGUAUGAUCAAGGUCCGGACAAUCAGUACAUGGGUGGUGGUGAAAGCUCAUCCGGAGGCGGCAGUGCUAGUCACCA
rnacentral:misc_RNA from 1 species